AGGACGAACGCUGGCGGCGUGCCUAAUACAUGCAAGUCGAGCGGACAGAUGGGAGCUUGCUCCCUGAUGUUAGCGGCGGACGGGUGAGUAACACGUGGGUAACCUGCCUGUAAGACUGGGAUAACUCCGGGAAACCGGGGCUAAUACCGGAUGGUUGUUUGAACCGCAUGGUUCAGACAUAAAAGGUGGCUUCGGCUACCACUUACAGAUGGACCCGCGGCGCAUUAGCUAGUUGGUGAGGUAACGGCUCACCAAGGCAACGAUGCGUAGCCGACCUGAGAGGGUGAUCGGCCACACUGGGACUGAGACACGGCCCAGACUCCUACGGGAGGCAGCAGUAGGGAAUCUUCCGCAAUGGACGAAAGUCUGACGGAGCAACGCCGCGUGAGUGAUGAAGGUUUUCGGAUCGUAAAGCUCUGUUGUUAGGGAAGAACAAGUGCCGUUCAAAUAGGGCGGCACCUUGACGGUACCUAACCAGAAAGCCACGGCUAACUACGUGCCAGCAGCCGCGGUAAUACGUAGGUGGCAAGCGUUGUCCGGAAUUAUUGGGCGUAAAGGGCUCGCAGGCGGUUUCUUAAGUCUGAUGUGAAAGCCCCCGGCUCAACCGGGGAGGGUCAUUGGAAACUGGGGAACUUGAGUGCAGAAGAGGAGAGUGGAAUUCCACGUGUAGCGGUGAAAUGCGUAGAGAUGUGGAGGAACACCAGUGGCGAAGGCGACUCUCUGGUC
rnacentral:rRNA from 1 species